rnacentral:lncRNA from 1 species
CAAGGCUUGUGAGUGGCAGAGCUGAAACCAGGUCUUCUAACAUUUUGGUCCUCUUUCUGCUAUACCCUAGAGAUCCAGAAACAUUAGCCAUAACUGGAAUCAAACAUAGAUCUUCUCCUCAAGACAUGAACAUGUUUGUAGCCUUUGCCUCCAUAAGUCAUAUUCUAGGGCUGGGACACCACACAAUAUAGUAGAGAACCUCCAGUUUCUCCAGAAGUGGCAAAUACUCCUCCCACUGGGUAUCCACACAGAAAUAUGUGAGCAUGCUCACAUGGCAUGUGCUGCCCCACCUCCCCCUGACAGGGAUUUGGUCACAGCUACAGCAUCUUGAGAACCUAUUUAAACUAACUUGUGGUAACUGGCAGCACAGUAUCACUUCCUGGCAGGCUGAGUCAUUGAGUCUCUGCAGACUUUGGAAGAGAAAAUCAUUAGCCGAGACAUUGAAGAGCCAGAGGGUUGCAGAGAGCUCCUGCUCCCUGGAAGAGAAACCUGAGUGA